rnacentral:lncRNA from 1 species
UGGUCCCAUUCUUGGUCCCAUUGUUGGCCAACCCAUUAGACCACCGAUUGUACCACCGGUUGCCCAAGUACCACCGGUUGGUCAAGUACCACCCAUUGUUGGACAAGUACCACCCAUUGUACCACCCAGUGUUGGCCAAUUGGCACCCCUUCUUAACCAACUAUUACCAUCCCUUCUUAACCAACUAUUACCACCCAUUGUUGGAAGAUUAUUACCACCCAUUCUUAACGAAGUAUUACCAGGCAUUGUUAGCCAGCUAAUACCACCCAUUGUUGGUCAAGUACCAUCUAUUGUGCCACCCAUUGGUCAAGUACCACCCAUUGUACCACCCGUUGGUCAAGUACCACCCAUUCUACCACCCGUUGGUCAAGUACCACCCAUUGUACCACCCGUUGGUCAAGUACCACCCAUUCUACCACCCGUUGGUCAAGUACCACCCAUUGUACCACCCGUUGGUCAAGUACCACCCAUUCUACCACCCGUUGGUCAAGUACCACCCAUUGUACCACCCGUUGGUCAAGUACCACCCAUUCUACCACCCGUUGGUCAAGUACCACCCAUUGUACCACCCGUUGGUCAAGUACCACCCAUUCUACCACCCGUUGGUCAAGUACCACCCAUUGUACCACCCGUUGGUCAAGUACCACCCAUUCUACCACCCGUUGGUCAAGUACCACCCAUUGUACCACCCGUUGGUCAAGUACCACCCAUUCUACCACCCGUUGGUCAAGUACCACCCAUUGUACCACCCGUUGGUCAAGUACCACCCAUUCUACCACCCGUUGGUCAAGUACCACCCAUUGUACCACCCGUUGUUGGCCAACCAGCUAAUAUAACUAUACGGGGUGUUGUGUCUUGCUCCACAUCGGGAAAUGCCCCAGGCCCCGGAAUUGGUGGAGUAAAUGUCG